UAGCCUAGUGGUUAAGGCUAUGGAUCGCCAAUCCGGAGGCGGCGGGUUUGAUUCCCGU
rfam:Aedes albopictus isolate Foshan contig82720, whole genome shotgun sequence.